rnacentral:rRNA from 1 species
UACGGGGGGGGCAAGCGUUGUUCGGAAUUACUGGGCGUAAAGGGUGCGUAGGCGGUGCUCUAAGUCGGAUGUGAAAACUCUGGGCUCAACCCAGAGCCUGCAUCCGAAACUGGAGUGCUAGAGUUCUGGAGGGGGUAGCGGAAUUCCUGGUGUAGCGGUGAAAUGCGUAGAUAUCAGGAGGAACACCGGUGGCGAAGGCGGCUCUCUGGACCGAUACUGACGCUGAGGAGCGAAAGCGUGGGGAGCGAACAGG